AAUAUAAUUAAGCAGUUCAAGCUGGCUUAUUUGACGCAAGCAGAAAAUGCGGCAAUGCUGAGGGGUGGUUGUGAUGGAGGGGGGGAAUCCCGUCAGCAGCCCCCAUACAGUAUAUGGCAAACCUCUAGUGGCUGCCUGCUUGCCUGAGUCUCGUUGUCUGCCAGCAGGAAUCAGUUGGUUCCCCUGCUCUCUCUGUGUUUUCUUGUCCAGAAGCACUGCGUCCUCCUUAAGGCUGCUAUAAAGACACUCUGGAGAGGAGGCCUCGCAGAUACAAUUCAGGACAGCCGGAUGUGUGAUGACGAUGAACAUGAGGAAUUAGAGAUGAUACAGAAACCAUGGGAUCCAUUCCAUUUGAUUAUCGCAACCGUUUGAAUCAUUUAAACAGGCAAUGGAUAAAAGAGGGGGGUAUUAUGGAUGGGGAGGACCAUGCCUCAGGACUACCUGGCAUGAUGACUCCUUGCUGUCCCAAGUCUACCUGGCCAUGCUGCUGCUCCAGUUUCAACUGUUCUGCCUGCGGCUAUGGAACCCUGACCUGUUCACCAGGCGUGCUACCUGUCCCAGACCUGCUGUGUUCAACUCUCUAGAGACAGCAGGAGUGGUAGAGACACUCUCAAUGAUCGGCUAUGAAAAGCCAACUGACAUUUACUCCUGAAGUGCUGACCUGUUGCACCCUUGACAACUACUGUGAUAAUUAUUAUUUGACCCUGCUGGUCAUUUAUGAACAUUUGAACAUCUUGGCCAUGUUCUGUUAUAAUCUCCACCUAGCACAGCCAGAAGAGGACUGGCCUCCCCUCAUAGCCUGGUUCCUCUCUAGGUUUCUUCCUAGGUUCUGGCCUUUCUAGGGAGUUUUUCCUAGCCACCGUGCUUCUACACCUGCAUUGCUUGCUGUUUGGGGUUGUAGGCUGGGUUUCUGUACAGCACGUUGAGAUAUCAGCUGAUGUAAGAAGGGCUAUAUAAAUACAUUUGAUUUGAUUUGAGGUGGUAGGUUUUCAGUUGGCUAAUUUAUAGAAGUCUAAAUAUCUGUGAGUGCCUAUACUACAGUAUGGUUCAUAGGACUCUAUGCAUGCAGCAUGGCUUUGCACUGCAACAUUGUUGCACUUUCUGAUCAUUCAAUUACUAAUAUGAACAGUAUAAGCAGGUCAAUUCCAUUUUAAUUCCAGUCAAAUUCCAAUUCCAACAUUUGUGACAAGUAUGCGUGUAACGGCGUUCUUCGUUUGUCGAAAGAGAGUCGGACCGAAAUGCAGCGUGUUGGUUACUCAUGUUUUUUAAUGAAACAAAUAACGAUACAUGAAAUAACUUAUAAAUACAAAAAAAAAAUAACGGAACGUGAAAAACCUAUACAGCCUGUCUGGUGAACACUAACGCAGAGACAGGAACAAUCACCCACGAAAUACACAGUGAAACCCAGGCUACCUAAAUACGGUUCCCUAUCAGAGACAACAAGAAUCACCUGACUCUGAUUGAGAACCGCCUCAGGCAGACAAACCUAAACUAAACACACCCCUAAUCAACCACAAUCCCAAUGCCUACAAAAACCCUAAUACGACAACACAAUAACAUAAACCCAUGUCACACCCUGGCCUGACCAACUAAUUAUCUAAAACACAAUGCGUUGUACCACCCCUGUAAUUGCAGACUGCAAUUACCACCAGUUACAUUUUGUGAUUACAGUGUAACUAUGAAUUAUUACAAUUAAUUACAAUACUUUUUUACAGUGUAAUUACAUAUGUAAUUACACUGUAAUUAGGAUCCCUUAAAAUGAAGUGUUAUCAUGGUUGGUAAUGGACUUAGUUUGUGUGCAGGUGGUGUUCCUGACAAUUAACAUGUUUACAACGAGACCCGUACAGAGAUAAUAGUCCCAGAUUAUGUUUCUCAAUGUGGCACAGCAUGACGUCUGCCAUUUUGUGAUUAAGGUUGUUGAUGUAAUAAAUGACAGCAACCAACCAUAAUCUAUGUCCAGGGUUAGUGUUGUCGUGAAGCAGUGAGAGUUUACUUCUUGUACGCCUAACAAUGCCUGUGCCAAUAUUUCCUCCAAACACUGGCUUCUCGGCAUUAUCACUUUUAUACAACAGGUUACCAACAUAUUCAAAUUAUGAUUUAUAUUUGUAUUUGUGUUUAUUAAGGAACACCCUGGGGUCCAGCAACCAUAAGACAGUUAAACAGUUUAAAAUAUUACAUGACAUGACAUUUCAUAACACUUUUCCCAAAACAUUUAGUGUGUUCCCUCAGGUCACCACUCCACCACCACAUAUUUACAAAGAACAUCCAUGUGUACGUGGGUGUAGAAUGCGUGACUUAUCAUGUGUAUGUGUGUCUGUGUCUGUGUGUGUCUCUUCACAGUCCCCGCUUUUCCAUAAGGUGCAUCAACAGUUAUUAAAAUCCGAUUGUAUUGCUUGCAUCAGUUACCUGGUGUGAAAUAGAGUUCCAUGUAGCCAUGGCUCUAUAUAGUACUGUGUGCCUCCCAUAGUCUGUUCUUGACUCGAGGAUUGUGAAGAGACCUUUGGUGGUAUGUCUUGUGGGGUGUGCAUGGGCGUCCAAGCUGUGUGCUAGUAGUUUAAACAGACACCUCGGUGCUUUCUGCAUGUCGCCACUUCUUACAAAAACAAGUAAUGAUGAAGUCAGUCUCUCCUCCACUUUGAGCUAUGAGAGACUUACUGUACAUAUAUAUUAUUCAUGUUACCUCUUCGUGUACAUUUAAGGGCCCGCUGUGCUGCCCUGUCCUGAGCCAAUUGUAAUUUUCCAAGGUCCCUCUUUGUGGCACCUGACCACACAACUGAACAGUAGUCCAGGUGCGACAAAACUAGGGCCUGUAGGACCUGCCUUGUUGUUAAAAAGCUAGAGCAACACUUUAUUAUGGACAGACUUCUCCCCAUCUUAGCUAUUGUUGUAUCAAUAUGUGUUGACCAUGACAGUGUACAAUCCAGGGUUACUCCAAACAGUUUAGUCGUCUCAACUUGCUCAAUUUCCACAUUAUUUAUUACAAGAUUGAGGUUUAGGGUUUAGUGAAUGAUUUGUCCCAAAUACAAUGAUUCUUAGUUGUUGAAAUAUUUAGGACUCAUUUAUUCUUUGCCACCCAUUCUGAAACUGACUGCAGCUCUUUGUUAAGUGUACAGUGUUGAGUCAUCCCCAUACAUAGCCACACUGGAUUUUCUCAAGUCAUUAGUAAAGACAGAAAAAAUGAAGGGGCCACGACAGCUGCCUUAGGGAAUUCCUGAUUCCACCUGGAUUAUGUUGGAGAGACCUCCAUUAAAGAACACCCUCUGUGUUCUGUUGAACAGGUACCUGUUUAUCCAUAAUAUAGCAGGAGGUGUCAAGCCAUAACACAUACGUUUUUCCAUCAUCAGACUAUGAUCGAUAAUGUUGUUGAGCUUGUUGAAUGUCCUUCCCUAUGAGCAUGCAGAAAGUCUUUUGUCAAUUUGUUUACAGUAAAAUGGUCAAACACUAUUUUUUCCAAAGUUUACUAAGGGUUGGUAAUAGGUUGAUUGGUUGGCUAUUUGAGCCAGUAAAGGGGGCUUUACUAUACUUUGGUAGCAGACUUACUUUAGCUUCCCUCCAGGCCUGAGGGUACACACUUUCUAGUAGGCUUACAUAGAAGAUGUGGCAAUAUCGUCCGCUAUUAUCUUCAGUAAUUUUCCAUCCAAGUUGUCAGACCCCAGUGGCUUGUCAUUGUCGAUAGACAACAAUAAUAUUUUCACUUCUUCCACACUCACUUUAUGGAAUAAAAAAUGACAAUGCUUGUCUUUCAUAAUUUGAUCAGUUAUACUUGGAUGUGUAGUGUCAGCAAUUGUUGCUGUCAUGUCAUGCCUAAGUUUGCUAAUGUUGCCAAUGAAAAAAUAAUUAAAGUAAUUGGCAUUAUCAUUCGGUUUUGUGAUGAGUGAGCCAUCUGAUUCAAUAAAUGAUGAAGCUAAGUUU